rnacentral:lncRNA from 1 species
AUUUUAGAAUUGCAGAAUCUUAGGGAAGCAAUACUUAAGAUGACAGUGAACAGACAGGAGCUGCAUUAUCUGUCAUGGCCUAAGUUUAGAAGCCACAGCCUUUAGAUAUGCAACAUCACAAGCAAUCCUGGUAUCCAAAACUGAAGAACUCAUCAUCCUGCCUCAGGCUUCAGAGUGCUGGGAUUAGAGAUGCUCAUUACCACAGCCAGCUC